rnacentral:rRNA from 1 species
AUUGAACGCUGGCGGCAGGCCUAACACAUGCAAGUCGAGCGAGCGGCGGACGGGUGAGUAAUGUAUGGGGCUCUGCCCGAUAGUUGGGGCUAACUACUGGAAACGGUGGCUAAUACCGCAUACUAUCGGCUCCACCCAUAUGGGUUUAGCUAGUAGUUGGGGUAAAGGCUCACCUAGGCGACGACCUCUAGCUGGUCUGCGAGGAUGAUCAGCCACACUGGGACUGAGACACGGCCCAGACUCCUACGGGAGGCAGCAGUGGGGAAUAUUGCAGAAUGGGCGCAAGCCUGAUGAAGCCAUGCCGCGUGUAUGAAGAAGGCCGUAGGGUUGUAAAGUACUUUCAGAGGGGAGGCGUUAAACGCAGAAGAAGCACCGGCUAAAUCCGUGCCAGCAGCCGCGGUAAUAC